AUGAACGCUGGCGGCGUGCCUAAUACAUGCAAGUCGAGCGAACGGACGAGAAGCUUGCUUUUCUGAUGUUAGCGGCGGACGGGUGAGUAACACGUGGAUAACCUACCUAUAAGACUGGGAUAACUUCGGGAAACCGGAGCUAAUACCGGAUAAUAUUUUGAACCGCAUGGUUCAUAAGUGAAAGACGGUCUUGCUGUCACUUAUAGAUGGAUCCGCGCUGCAUUAGCUAGUUGGUAAGGUAACGGCUUACCAAGGCAACGAUGCAUAGCCGACCUGAGAGGGUGAUCAGCCACACUGGAACUGAGACACAGUCCAGACUCCUACGGGAGGCAGCAGUAGGGAAUCUUCCGCAAUGGGCGAAAGCCUGACGGAGCAACGCCGCGUGAGUGAUGAAGGUCUUCGGAUCGUAAAACUCUGUUAUUAGGGAAGAACAUAUGUGUAAGUAACUGUGCACAUCUUGACGGUACCUAAUCAGAAAGCCACGGCUAACUACGUG
rnacentral:rRNA from 1 species